AUUGAACGCUGGCGGCAGGCCUGACACAUGCAAGUCGAGCGGAUGAAGAGAGCUUGCUCUCUGAUUUAGCGGCGGACGGGUGAGUAAUGCCUAGGAAUCUGCCUGGUAGUGGGGGAUAACGUUCCGAAAGGAACGCUAAUACCGCAUACGUCCUACGAGAGAAAGCAGGGGACCUUCGGGCCUUGCGCUAUCAGAUGAGCCUAGGUCGGAUUAGCUAGUUGGUGAGGUAAUGGCUCACCAAGGCUACGAUCCGUAACUGGGCUGAGAGGAUGAUCAGUCACACUGGAACUGAGACACGGUCCAGACUCCUACGGGAGGCAGCAGUGGGGAAUAUUGGACAAUGGGCGAAAGCCUGAUCCAGCCAUGCCGCGUGUGUGAAGAAGGUCUUCGGAUUGUAAAGCACUUUAAGUUGGGAGGAAGGGCAGUAAGUUAAUACCUUGCUGUUUUGACGUUACCGACAGAAUAAGCACCGGCUAACUUCGUGCCAGCAGCCGCCUAAGAC
rnacentral:rRNA from 1 species